rnacentral:lncRNA from 1 species
CUUAUUCAUUUCUUAUUGAAUACAUUUCUCUCUUGUUUGAGUACUCUACUGCAAUAUGUGGAUGGUCACCUGUAGAUUAACUUAUAAUGUGAGUUUCGACAACCAAAUCAGCAAAAUUCUUGGAAAGCAAUACCAAUAAUGUGUUAAAGUUAAAUAACCAAGACCUAUAAGUUAUACAUUCCAUACUAAGGCAAUGAAUGAAAGUUCAGUCCAUGUUAGUUAUUACUAUGGUGUCGCCCGGGUAAAAAGUUGAGCAAAAAUCUAAUUGCCAAGUAUACAAAAUACAUAAUAUUCAACCACAUAAUCACUAUUAACUGGCAACAUUUAACACUUAAUCCAUCACUCAUUGAUAUGUACAAGCAGGGAGGGAGGAUUGAGGGAAUGAAUCAAGUACUGCAAAAUGUUGUUUGGCUUACCACCACGCCGAAGAUACUGGUUAUUGAAUACUACC